UAGUGCUAUAGUUCAGCGGUAGAAUACCUCCCUGUCACGGAGAUGGUCACGGGUUCGAAUCCCGUUAGCACUGCCAA
rnacentral:tRNA from 1 species